rnacentral:rRNA from 1 species
UAGGGAAUCUUAGACAAUGGGGGAAACCCUGAUCUAGCCAUGCCGCGUGUGUGAUGAAGGCCUUAGGGUCGUAAAGCACUUUCGCCAGAGAUGAUAAUGACAGUAUCUGGUAAAGAAACCCCGGCUAACUCCGUG